AGCUUUAUGCAGUGGCAGUAUCGUAGCCAAUGAGGUUUAUCCGAGGUGCGAUUGUUGCUAAUUGAAAAUUUUCCCAAUACCCCACCAUGACAACUUGAAAUAUAGUCAGCAUUGGCAAUUUUUGACAGUCUCUACGGAGA
rnacentral:snRNA from 1 species